rnacentral:rRNA from 1 species
GAUGAACGCUGGCGGCGUGCCUAAUACAUGCAAGUCGAGCGAACGGACGAGAAGCUUGCUUCUCUGAUGUUAGCGGCGGACGGGUGAGUAACACGUGGAUAACCUACCUAUAAGACUGGGAUAACUUCGGGAAACCGGAGCUAAUACCGGAUAAUAUUUUGAACCGCAUGGUUCUAAAGUGAAAGACGGUCUUGCUGUCACUUAUAGAUGGAUCCGCGCUGCAUUAGCUAGUUGGUAAGGUAACGGCUUACCAAGGCAACGAUGCAUAGCCGACCUGAGAGGGGGAUCGGCCACACUGGAACUGAGACACGGUUCAGAAUCCUACGGGAGGAAGCAGUAGGGAAUCUUCCGCAAUGGGCGAAAGCCUGACGGAGCAACGCCGCGUGAGUGAUGAAGGUCUUCGGAUCGUAAAACUCUGUUAUUAGGGAAGAAAACAUGUGUAAGUAACUGUGCACAUCUUGACGGUACCUAAUCAGAAAGACAAGGAUAACUACGUG